rnacentral:rRNA from 1 species
CAGCCGCCGCGGUAAUACGUAGGGGGCGAGCGUUGUCCGGAAUUAUUGGGCGUAAAGCGCGCGCAGGCGGUCCUUUAAGUCUGAUGUGAAAGCCCACGGCUCAACCGUGGAGGGUCAUUGGAAACUGGGGGACUUGAGUGCAGGAGAGGAGAGCGGAAUUCCACGUGUAGCGGUGAAAUGCGUAGAGAUGUGGAGGAACACCAGUGGCGAAGGCGGCUCUCUGGCCUGUAACUGACGCUGAGGCGCGAAAGCGUGGGGAGCAAACAGGAUUAGAUACCCUGGUAGUCCACGCCGUAAACGAUGAGUGCUAAGUGUUAGAGGGGUCACACCCUUUAGUGCUGCAGCUAACGCGAUAAGCACUCCGCCUGGGGAGUACGGCCGCAAGGCUGAAAUUUAAAGGAAUUGGCGGG